UAAAAAUUAAACUUGAAGACUUAAGAAAACAUAAGAAAACCUAACAAGGCUUAACCCGGUCGACACCAUGCAUGCCAAUUGGCACGGUGAAGGACCGAAUUUUUGUAGCUAGUUCUAACGCUCCUACAGUGUGUUUGUUGGUCUUAUUUCAAAGGAGAAGAGUGAAAGUAUAGUUAAAAACGUGAAAUUCCACAGUCCAAACCUUUUCCACGCUCUUCGACGACAAGUGAAAUUACCAUUCCGGAAACCGCUUGUGAUUAUGACCCCGAAGAGCUUACUGCGCAAACCCGAAGCGCAGUCUGGUUUCGAUGAAUUCUUACCCUCCAGCGAAUUUAAACGUAUUUAUCCUGACGGAAUUGCUAGCAAACACUCAGACACGAUUAAACGCGUGGGUUUUUGUUCGGGAAAGCUGUUUUAUGAACUGGAUGCAGAAAGAACGAAAGCUCGACUGGAGAAUGAUAUAGCGAUCAUCAGAAUCGAACAGACCUGCCCUUUCCCGCAUGAUCUCAUUAGGGAACAGCUGAAGUUGUAUCUUAGCGCACAAAUCGUUUGGACACAGGAAGAGCACUAGAAUGCAGGUGCAUGGACGUACAUUCAACCCCGUAUGGAUACGCUGCUCGGACGCGGGAUGAACGACGAGCGAUCUGUACAGUAGUGCCCUGCAACGGAGUCGAAAACUUCGUCCAGUCCGAUCCGAACUAAUAAAUUUUUCUCCGAACCCAGUCCGACUCCGAAUUUUCAAAAUCAUACUCCGACCACUCCGAUCCGUAAAUGUUUUUUACAAAUCCGAAUCCAGUCCGAUCCGCUCCGAAAAUUUUUGUCAUAUUUAUUUUUUAUUUCAUUCCAGAAAAAUCUAUAACACCUAUACUAUCCGCUGCAACAAUUAAAGAUAGCGCACGCCAAGUUAUUAUCGAAAUUUUCAAUUCUUAAAAUCUUCGGAACGUUUAUUUGAUUUUUAUACAAUCUCCGUUUGAAUUUUGCGUCGUCUUAGGCAUAGAUUGCUCAUACCUGAGCGUUUUUCGAGUUGCGAAUUCCGAAAAUUUUGAUCUUUUUGCCAUCGCAAAAACCACAGUUUCUGGCUGGUGCUUUCACGUGUUAGUGGCAUCUCUUUUAGUUCUUAACAAAAGAACUCAUAAAAGUUAUAAUUCGGAUUUUUUUUUUAUUGAACAAGCUUCGCUUCUAACAAAGGGCACAGAGUAAGUAACUGAAGUUAACGUAAGUAAUAGAAGUAGCUACGUUUAGUGCUUUACCGAAUCACACAGAAGCCUCGCGCGGAGCGCGAAGCUGGCGGUGCUUUUUGUCCUAAGAAUUAUGGAAAUUCUAUAAAAAUCAGUUGAAAAUAUAAUUUUAUUUCGGAUAAUUCGGAGUCAUAAUUGCAUCCGAAUCCGAUCCAUUCAGGCAAGCCUAAACUCCGAAACCACUCCGAUCCGAAUUUUUUUAAAACAAAUCCGUCCAAUCCGCUCCGAAAAUCGGAGUGGAUUCGGAGCGGUUCGGAUUUACCAGUCCGUUGCAGGGCUCUACUGUACAGUAAGUCAGGCUUGGAAGUGCAUUACCGUAAUGUGAGACCGAUGGGCGGAUACAACAAUCCACUGGUAUUUUGUAGAUACAGUAUAUCGGAAGGGCUGUAUCUGCUGCCACUGUUACAGGGAAUAAAAAGCGACAUGAGUCGGAGCAAGCGAAAGUGAUUCAGGAAGUUAUGACAUGGCAGUGAAGGUGUUAAUUUCCGGUGCUUACACCUGCGAGGCAGCUUGGCUGUGGAUCUUUUUAAAGAUAAAUGUGGCGGACAGUUGUUUGUAGCUUUGGAAUAGACAUAUUCUUUGGGUUCAUCGCUGGUGGUUAAUGAUCUUUAUUUUUAUGAUGUAGAAAGGCUGUGAUGGGAAUUUUUCAGAAAGGUAAAGAAGUAUGCUUUGCAGCUUUGAAAUUUCACUGUUUGACUAUGUACUGCGCUUUUCUUUCGCCACACUCUGUGACCAAAACUUAUGGCUUAUUUAUAGUGCAAAACAAGAUUAUUGUGAGCUUAAUUUUUUGGAACACUUUUCUGUUUCCAUUAAAGUACUUUCUGCGAAAUCGAACGAAAGUACCUUGAGCGAGGGAUUUCCUUGCACAUAAUUAUUGAUUAAAUCUUUAGGCUUG